GAUGAACGCUGGCGGCGUGCCUAACACAUGCAGGUCGAACGAACCUGAUCUUCGGAAAAGGUUAGUGGCGCACGGGUGAGUAACACGUAGGUGACCUGCCCUGGAGUGGGGGAUAACUUCUCGAAAGAGAGGCUAAUACCGCAUACGCUCGGCCAUUCAGUUGGUCGAGUAAAGCUCCGGCGCUCCAGGAGGGGCCUGCGUCCGAUGAGCUAGUUGGUGAGGUAAUGGCUCACCAAGGCGAUGAUCGGUAGCUGGUCUGAGAGGACGAUCAGCCACACUGGCAAUGACACACGGGCCAGACUCCUACGGGAGGCAGCAGGGAGGAAUAUUGGUCAAUGGGCGAAAGCCUGAACCAGCAACGCCGCGUGAGGGAUGAAGGCCUUCGGGUCGUAAACCUCUUUUCUGGGAGAAGAGACAAGGACGGUAUCCCAGGAAUAAGUCUCGGCUAACUACGUGCCAGCAGCCGCUGUAACAC
rnacentral:rRNA from 1 species